UAUCGCCAAACUUUCUCUUUUUCAAAUCUGUUACAGUCAGGGCAGGUUCUUUUGCUUUGCGAUUUUCAUUUGAAUUUUUCAUAAACAAAAAUCCUUCGCGUUGGUUUGCAGUCACAACUCUUUUGCCCUGUUUAAUUGUGAUUCUAGCUCUGCUUCCUUCUGGUUCUUUUUCAAAUCUGUCGACAACGGUAGUUGUUCUUGGAGCAGGUGGAUCAACAGGAAGAUUAUCAGUUGCNGGAACUCUAGAUAAUUCUGCUAGAUCAGUCUUAGUCCAAGAAUUGAAAUCAUGGGUGCUUUUGUAACAUUCAGAUAUUCCUGAGUUUCGCUUCACCACCCACAAAUUCGUUUCUGGAUCAAAAGCCCACAUACGGAUACUAGAUCUGUCAUCAUACUUAUCGCCAAACUUUCUCUUUUUCAAAUCUGUUAUAGUCAGGGCAGGUUCUUUUGCUUUGCGAUUUUCAUUUGAAUUUUUCAUAAACAAAAAUCCUUCNAGUCCAAGAAUUGAAAUCAUGGGUGCUUUUGUAACAUUCAGAUAUUCCUGAGUUUCGCUUCACCACCCACAAAUUCGUUUCUGGAUCAAAAGCCCACAUACGGAUACCAGAUCUGUCACCAUACUUAUCGCCAAACUUUCUCUUUUUCAAAUCUGUUACAGUCAGGGCAGGUUCUUUUGCUUUGCGAUUUUCAUUUGUAUUUUUCAUAAACAAAAGUCCUUCGCGUUGGUUUGCAGUCACAACUCUUUUGCCCUGUUUAAUUGUGAUUCUAGCUCUGCUUCCUUCUGGUUCUUUUUCAAAUCUGUCGACAAUGGUAGUUGUUCUUGGAGCAGGUGGGUCAACAGGAAGAUCAUCAGUUGUAGGAGGUGAUUGAGCAGAAGGAGGAUCAACUACUCCAUGAGGCUGUUGGAAGAGGGCUUUAACUUUUUCACCAAAAGCAUCAUACAAUACGUUUUUGAGAUUAAAAUAACUAGCUAGAACUGAUCCAAGACUCGUUUGUAAAUCUUUGAUUUGUUUGGUCUUUUCUUCAUCCUUUGCCCUGAGUUCAAAGAUAUAUGCAGAAAGUUGAUCCAUUUGAAUUGAUUUUUCAAUGAGCUGUUGGCGGAGAACUCCAACUUCCUCUCGAAGAUCAGAUGAAGAGAAUUUGUCAUCAUCUGUCCGACCCUCGUUAAAUGAUAUUCCUUUCCCGCGUGAAGAGGUUGGACUUGAUUGAGCCAAAUGUCUUACAAGUCUGAUAGAAGCUUCAUCUAGAGAAGGUCGAGUUGGAGAAUAUUCUGGAACAUAAGAGGAUCCACCAGUCUCGAACAUUGUGAUUGGACCUUCAUUAGUCUGCUUUGUAGGAGAGUGAGCAAAGGUUGUAGUG
rnacentral:lncRNA from 1 species